rnacentral:rRNA from 3 species
AAAUUGAAGAGUUUGAUCAUGGCUCAGAUUGAACGCUGGCGGCAGGCCUAACACAUGCAAGUCGAACGGUAACAGGAAGCAGCUUGCUGCUUUGCUGACGAGUGGCGGACGGGUGAGUAAUGUCUGGGAAACUGCCUGAUGGAGGGGGAUAACUACUGGAAACGGUGGCUAAUACCGCAUAACGUCGCAAGACCAAAGAGGGGGACCUUCGGGCCUCUUGCCAUCAGAUGUGCCCAGAUGGGAUUAGCUAGUUGGUGAGGUAACGGCUCACCAAGGCGACGAUCCCUAGCUGGUC